ensembl:misc_RNA 7SK 7SK RNA
UGAUGUGAGAAUGAUCUAUGACAUAUGUCACCUCGUGAUUACCACUGUUGAUUAGGCUGAGCUGGCUGGCUGGGCUAGCACCCAUUCUUCUCCCAAAGCUUCUUGGAUCCUUCUAAAAACUGCACCUGACCACUUGGGCUGAGAAGGUACAUUUUCAGGGAGAGAAUAAUCAACUGUUGAUAAGAUACAUAACGGGGCUGAGCUCUCCUGCUACACACUUUACACCAGCUUGCACGUUCUACUUGGUGGCAUACCGUAGCCACAUCAAAAGUGGGAGCUCUUUUAUUU